AUGACGGGCAGAUUAUCAGGUGAUGCUGAGUUGCAGGCCUGCUGUGCCUCACAGCUCGUUUGCCCAAUAGAAUUAUAUAAGCAGCAAAAGCCAACUGUCAUCUAUUCCUGUGUUAUGUUACUGCAUAGACUAUAUGGACGACAUGGAGGAAGUAACUCUGCCCACAGGCGAACAACACCUUACAUCCGCGGUGCCGGAGAGGUGCUCUUAGCCGUUCGUAAGAAGCUCGGUGUUGGUGAUGGCGAGAAGGCCUUGGGGAAGUUAUCAGAUAUAGAUAUAUACAAUACAGCUUACAUCCGUGGUGCCGGAGAGGUGCUAUUAGUCGUCCGUAAGAAGCUCGGUGUUGGUGAUGGCGAGAAGGCCUUGGGGAAGGUUCAAGUGUUGCUUCCUCGAAAAAAAGCCAACCAAGGACCUUUGCAACAACUAGCUUGUUGCGCUCAGGGGCUUUGCAACAAGGGCCUUUUUGCAAAGGUCCACCGAGACAACACGACUGCCCCGCCAUGGCCUGAGCGCCUCGGCUGUGGAGCGCCGCUGGCCACCGGAGUUGCCGCGCCUCCUCCGACCUAG
rnacentral:rRNA from 1 species